GCGCGAAGCCCCCUUUCGGGGGGCGAGUAGAGCGGCGAACGGGUGAGUAACGCGUGGGUAAUCUACCUCCGAGUUGGGGAUAACACUCCCAACGGGGUGCUAAUACCGAAUUCGAUGCGGUGGUUUCGGCUGCCGCAUGAAAGAUGGCCUCUGCUUGCAUGCUGUCGCUCGGAGAUGAGCCAGCGUCCUAUUAGCUUGUUGGUGGGGUAAUGGCCUACCAAGGCGACGAUGGGUAGCCGGCCUGAGAGGGUGAACGGCCACACUGGCACUGAGACAAGGGCCAGUCCCCUACGGGGGCCAGCAGUCUAGAAAUUUGCACAAUCGCCGAAAGGCGGAUGCAGCGACGCCACGUGGAGGAUGAAGUCCUUCGGGGCGUAAACUCCUGUCAGAUGGGAAGAAGGCGCGGGUGUUAAUACCACCCGUUGCUUGACGGUACCAUCAGAGGAAGCUCCGGCUAACUGCGUGCCAGCAGCCGCGGUAAUACGUGGGGAGCAAGCGUUGUUCGGAUUUACUGGGCGUAAAGAGCUCGUAGGCGGGUGUGUAAGUCGGGUGUGAAAUCCUCUGGCUCAACCAGAGAAUUGCACCCGAAACUGCGCAUCUUGAGUUCAGCAGAGGGAAUCGGAAUCAGUUGUGUAGCGGUGAAAUGCGUAGAGAUAACUGAGAACACCAGUGGCGAAAGCGGAUUCCUGGGCUGACACUGACGCUGAGAGCGAAAGCUGGGGGAGCGAACAGGAUUAGAUACCCUGGUAGUCCCAGCCGUAAACGAUGGGUACUAGUGUUGGGGGAUGUUGACCC
rnacentral:rRNA from 1 species